AACGAACGCUGGCGGCAGGCUUAACACAUGCAAGUCGAACGCUCGUAGCAAUACGGGAGUGGCGGACGGGUGAGUAACGCGUGGGAACGUGCCCUGAGGUACGGAAUAACUGCGGGAAACUGCAGCUAAUACCGUAUGAGCCCCGUGAGGGGGAAAGAUUUAUCGCCUUAGGAGCGGCCCGCGUCGGAUUAGCUAGUUGGUGGGGUAACGGCUUACCAAGGCUUCGAUCCGUAGCUGGUCUGAGAGGACGAUCAGUCACACUGGGACUGAGACACGGCCCAGACUCCUACGGGAGGCAGCAGUGGGGAAUCUUGCGCAAUGGGGGGCAACCCUGACGCAGCCAUGCCGCGUGAAUGAUGAAGGCCUUAGGGUUGUAAAGUUCUUUUGCCCGUGACGAUGAUGACGGUAACGGGAGAAUAAGCUCCGGCUAACUUCGUG
rnacentral:rRNA from 1 species